rnacentral:rRNA from 1 species
AGAGUUUGAUCAUGGCUCAGAACGAACGUUAGCGGCGCGCCUAACACAUGCAAGUCGAACGAGAAAGUCCCUUCGGGGGCGAGUAAAGUGGCGCACGGGUGAGUAACACGUGGGUAAUCUGCCCUUCGGCGGGGGAUAACAUCCUGAAAGGGGUGAUAAUACCGCAUACGACCGCUUCGGCGGGGAAAGGUGGCCUCUCCUUGGAAGCUAUCACCGAAGGAUGAGCCCGCGGCCCAUCAGCUUGUUGGUAGGGUAAUGGCCUACCAAGGCGACGACGGGUAGCUGGUCUGAGAGGACGAUCAGUCACACUGGAACUGAGACACGGUCCAGACUCCUACGGGAGGCAGCAGUGGGGAAUAUUGCGCAAUGGGCGAAAGCCUGACGCAGCGACGCCGCGUGGGUGAUGAAGGCCUUCGGGUCGUAAAGCCCUGUGGGAGAGGGAAGAAAAGCUCAAGGGAACAAUACCCCGUGAGUUUGACGGUACCUCUUCAGAAAGCACCGGCUAACUCCGUGCCAGCAGCCGCGGUAACACGGAGGGUGCAAACGUUGUUCGGAAUUACUGGGCGUAAAGAGCGUGUAGGCGGCCUGACAAGUCAGGUGUGAAAGCCCUCGGCUUAACUGAGGAAGUGCUCUUGAAACUGUCAGGCUAGAGUACGGGAGAGGGUAGUAGAAUUCCCGGUGUAGAGGUGAAAUUCGUAGAUAUCGGGAGGAAUACCGGUGGCGAAGGCGGCUACCUGGACCGAUACUGACGCUGAGACGCGAAAGCGUGGGGAGCAAACAGGAUUAGAUACCCUGGUAGUCCACGCCGUAAACGAUGGACACUAGGUGCUGCGGGUAUUGACCCCUGCGGUGCCGUAGCUAACGCGAUAAGUGUCCCGCCUGGGGAGUACGGCCGCAAGGCUAAAACUCAAAUGAAUUGACGG